CGCUGGGGAGGAUACAAACCUUGGUAAAAACAGAAUUGAAGGGAGUGGGCGUCGAAGCAGAGGGUCUGAAGUUCACCACUGCUAGAAGGGGAGGGGAGUGGAAAGGCCCUCGAUGAAGAAGACAACCUCCUUAGGAUACAGGCCCAGAAUGGAAAUGAUUUGCUCAAGCUUACGCAGCCGCUAAAUGACUGGAUAGACAUUCAGACCUCAACCUGUAUGUACCCUUUUACAGAUAGGGACACAGGCAGGAAAGGUACAGAACUCUUCAGAUCAAACCUUAACAAUGAAUUCAAUAUGCAAAGCAGAUAAAUGUAGUUGAAGUGGGAAGGACUGAGAACUAUCCCAACCAUCCAGCACCUCCUAUACACAUUUUCACUGUCCCCUCAAGGGGAGGCUGCAGGGAAUACUUUGAAAAGUAUUGGGAAAAUGUAUCCUCAUAAAUGACUUGAAAUGCCACCUUUGCAAUAUACCACAUGAACUUUUUUUU